rnacentral:tRNA from 1 species
GCCUUCGUAGUGUAGUGGUUAGCACACUCGAUCCGUAUUCGAGAGGCCCGUGGCUCGAGUCCCGUCGAAGGCA